AUUGAACGCUGGCGGCAUGCCUUACACAUGCAAGUCGAACGGCAGCACGGGAGCAAUCCUGGUGGCGAGUGGCGAACGGGUGAGUAAAGUAUCGGAACGUGCCCAGUCGUGGGGGAUAACGUAGCGAAAGUUACGCUAAUACAGCAUACGAUCUAUGGAUGAAAGCGGGGGAUCGCAAGACCUCGCGCGAUUGGAGCGGCCGAUAUCAGAUUAGGUAGUUGGUGGGGUAAAGGCUCACCAAGCCGACGCUCUGUAGCUGGUCUGGGAGGACAGCCAGGCACACUGGAACUGAGACACGGCCAAGACUCCUACGGGAGGCAGCAGUGGGGAAUUGUGGACAAUGGGGGCAAGCCUGAUCCAGCCAUGCGGCGUGCAGGACGAAGGCCUUCGGGUUGUAAACUGCUUUUGUACGGAACGAAAAUGUCUCUCUUAAUACGGGGGACUCAUGACGGUACCGUAAGAAUAAGCACCGGCUAACUACGUGCCAGCCGCCGCCGUAA
rnacentral:rRNA from 1 species